GAUGAACGCUGGCGUCGUGCCUAACACAUGCAAGUCGAGCGAUUCUCUCCGGUGAAGAGCGGCGGACGGGUGAGUAACGCGUGGGUAACCUGCCCUGUACACACGGAUAACAUACCGAAAGGUAUGCUAAUACGAGAUAAUAUGCUUUUGUCGCAUGGUAGAAGUAUCAAAGCUCCGGCGGUACAGGAAGGAACCGCGUCUGAUUAGCUAGUUGGUAAGGUAACGGAUUACCAAGGCGACGAUCAGCAGCCGACCUUAGAGGGUGAUCGGCCACAUUGGAAAUGCGACACGGUCCAAACUCCUACGGGAGGCAGCAGUGGGGAAUAUUGCACAAUGGGCGAAAGCCUGAUGCAGCAACGCCGCGUGAGCGAUGAAGGCCUUCGGGUCGUAAAGCUCUGUCCUCAAGGAAGAAAAAAAUGACGGUACCUACAGAAGAAGCGACGGCUAAAUAUGUGCCAGCAGCCGCCGCGG
rnacentral:rRNA from 1 species